GAUGAACGCUGGCGGCGUGCCUAAUACAUGCAAGUCGAGCGAACAGACAAUGAGCUUUUUCCCCUACGGUUAGCGGCGGACGGGUGAGUAACGCGUGGAUAACCUUCCUCUAAUACGGGGAUAACUUCGGAAAACAGCUGCUACUACCGCCUAAUAUAUUCAACCGCUUGAUUCAAUAGUGAAACACGCCUUUGCUGUCUCAUAUAGAUGGAUCCGCGCCGCAUUAGCUAGUUGGUAAGGUAACGGCUUACCAAGGCAACGUUGCUUAGCCGACCUGAGAGGGUGAUCGGCCACACUGGAACUGAGACACGGUCCAGACUCCUACGGGAGGCAGCAGUGGGGAAUAUUGGGCAAUGGGCGAAAGCCUGACGGAGCAACGCCGCGUGGGUGAUGAAGGUCUUCGGAUUGUAAAACUCUGUUAUUAGGGAAGAAAAAAUGUGUAAGUAAAUAUGCACGUCUUGACGGUACCUAAUCAGAAAGCCACGGCUAACUACGUG
rnacentral:rRNA from 1 species